AACCAACGCUGGCGGCGUGCCUAAUACAUGCAAGUCGAACGGGGAAAGCUUUCGGGUGAGUACUAGUGGCGCACGGGUGAGGAACGCGUGGAUAAUCUGCCUUAGAGUGGGGGAUAACUAGUCGAAAGAUUAGCUAAUACCUCAUAAGACCACGAGAGCUGCGGCUUUUGAGGUCAAAGGUUUUUCGCUCUAAGAUGAGUCCGCGUAAGAUUAGCUAGUUGGUGAGGUAACGGCUCACCAAGGCGACGAUCUUUAACUGGUCUGAGAGGAUGAUCAGUCACAAUGGAACUGAGACACGGUCCAGAAUCCUACGGGAGGAAGCAGUAGGGAAUAUUGCACAAUGGAGGAAACUCUGAUGCAGCGACGCCGCGUGAGUGAUGAAGGCCUUCGGGUCGUAAAGCUCUGUCGCAGGGGAAUAACACAAUGAAGGUACCCUGUAAGAAAGGAUCGGCUAACUUCGUG
rnacentral:rRNA from 1 species